rnacentral:lncRNA from 1 species
UAUAUGUAUUUAUGAUAUAGAAUAUUUAAUAAAAUUAUAUUUAAUUAAAAUUUGAUGAUCUACAUGGAACUGAAUUUGUGUUUAAAUUACAGCUUUGCUGUUUCCUCAGUUACCGAAGAACAGAGUCCUUGUGCAACAUUACAUAUUGCCUGUUUACACUGAUUCACUGCAGCAUCACUUGGCCUCUUCAGCUAUACCUCUCCAUCGGAUGAAGGCUUCUUGCAUGGAAGCACCAAUGUAACAGAAUAUCUGAUACAAGAAGCAAAUAUUUCUGGAGGAUCGCCAAAAAAGAAGAUGGACUCAGCUGCAAUAACUGAAGGAAAGAAGGAAGAUGAAGCCACAGAGUCUAAGCAGGGCAACAGAGAAGGACGAGCUGCAGCAAGAUAAUUCUUAUUUAAGAUUGUUCCGUGAAGAAAGUAUGUCUUGGAUUGUAUCCACUCAACCCUGGAAGACAGAGCUGUGUACAGCACACAUUUUCAUUAGCUUCAGGUACUCAGCGCUCGUUUGCUGA